UCAGAAAAUAAUAUAUAUAAUUAAGUAUGUAAAUUUUGGAGAUUUAUUGAGAUGUAAUCUUUUCUGAA
rnacentral:tRNA from 1 species